GACAAACGCUGGCGGCGUGCUUAACACAUGCAAGUCGAACGAUGAAGCCGGAGCUUGCUCUGGUGAAUUAGUGGCGAACGGGUGAGUAACACGUGUGUAACCUGCCCUUGACUCUGGGAUAACUGCGGGAAACUGUAGCUAAUACCGGAUACGACCCUCGGAGGCAUCUCCUGGGGGUGGAAAGAAUUUCGGUCAAGGAUGGACUCGCGGCCUAUCAGCUAGUUGGUGAGGUAAAGGCUCACCAAGGCGACGACGGGUAGCCGGCCUGAGAGGGUGACCGGCCGCACUGGAACUGAGACACGGUCCAGACUCCUACGGGAGGCAGCAGUGGGGAAUAUUGCACAAUGGGCGAAAGCCUGAUGCAGCAACGCCGCGUGAGGGAUGAAGGCCUUCGGGUUGUAAACCUCUUUUAGCAGGGAAGAAGCGAAAGUGACGGUAGGUGCAGAAGAAGGACCGGCCAACUACGUGCCAGCAGCCGCAGUAA
rnacentral:rRNA from 1 species